UUUGUAAAAUAUACAAGCCGUAAACAUUAUUGAAGCAUUGUAGAAGCCCAGGGAUGAUUAAAACAAUUUUAAGUCACCCAUUUCUUUAUGCUCGGGACACCCGAUCAACCAAAGGAAACUUGAACUGUUGAAGGUCACAAACAAUGAACAUGCGAGAUUGCAGACCCACGUUGCUUCGAUCGCCUGAAUUCAUUUCGGGUCACUGUGCAGUGAGAUUGUACAUGAGCAAACAGCCCUACAGUACUUAAUUUACCCAGGAGUAGACUACUUGUAGUUGAAGGUAGACUGAAGGCCAGACUUAGCCAGGAUGAUUGAGCAAAAUCUGCUUGCAGAUGGACUAAUGAGGCAAAAAAAUUGGACUCUCAGGCGGUGAACAGAUGUUCAGCAAGAAAUUCGCACAUCAAAUGCUGUGAAUUACACUGAUAUCCCCCCCCCCAAAAAAAAAAAAAGAACAGAGAGACCAAUCAUUAACAGCUUGAGACUUGGUGCACAUAACCUUGCUACAGAAAAGGGGAUUUGCCUAUAAACACUCCCUAAUGAAAGAUUUUGUAAAUUAUUUGUUACACAGGAGAGAUUUAAGAUGUAUUUCGUUUUUAUUUAGCUACCAAAAAUACAACAAUUAUAAGUUAACUUUUGAAAGGAAGUUGAUGUAUUUUUUUCUUGAAAGGAAAAGUAUCAAAUUUGUCUCAAAUACCUUUGAUAGUCAAUGUACAGAAAUACUAAAAAUAACACUUAUUUAUUAAGAAAUACCAUAUAUUUAGAAAUCUUUGUAAUACAUAUUUAUUGUGUAUUAUUGUGUAAAUUAUUAUUGUGUGAUUUAUGUAUAGCCUCAAAAUCUUGAUGCAGUGUAUUGUAUAAAAUUGUAUGAACAAUUGGUGAUUCUUAUACUAGUAUGUUGCACCCUUGACAAUUAUUGUAAUUGUGUUGGCGCUGAUAAAUAUUUAUAUACAUGUCAUAUAUUAGUUCAUGUACAAAACAUAAUUAUAAAGAUUCUAUAAUAUAACAUAAAGUUUUGGCCUUUAACUCAGCAAAAAUAUACAUGUAUUUCGUUCGCGAACCUUUACUUUUUUUUGUAAUAAUGAAACCAGUAUAUUUUAUAACAGAGGAAAUUCGGAUUGAAUUUUUAAAAGUUUUUUGGAAACAUGGCAAUAAUUUCAGCAAUUAUUUCCAAAAUAAAACAUCAUAUCACAUUUUAGAGAAAAUCUAUUAUCUAACCGCCUGUCCUGUCUCUUAUAUUAUUAGCCUAUAUGAUAAAUUGAAAGCAUAUUUUCUUUUUUCAAUGAUAAUUUUUAAAAUGAGGAAAUUCGAGCUAACCUGGCAAUUCAAUAAAUAUGAAUACCCCUUUAUUUUUUUGUUGUAAAUGAUUCAUUCAA